UCUAUUGCGCAAUCUGCAAGGGAGACAACUUCCGACCUACAAAUAUGAGGUUAAGUUUGCGAUGGUUCCAAAAUCAAAGAGUUAACUUUGAUCAACGUGAUGCCCGCGAUGGAAAGGCGAAAAAAGGAUAUUAUUAUUUACUAGCAUUUCUUGCAGUUACUGUGCCAAGUAUCUACUUCGCAAUUAUACAACCAAUGAUGAAUCCGACAAAAUGGCAAAAGAUUUCCAACGAGGCACGCAGAGGCAUUGACAGAGAACAGAUUCAACCUGGUGGCAUGGACAUGUGGAGUGAUCCGUUUAAGAAGAAACCCAAGUCACAGUGAUGGAAUGGUGUACGUGUUGUGUUGUUGACUUUUACCACUCGCCUGAGGGUACACUCUUGUAGUUGCUGGUGUGUUGUGUCACAGACAUUGGUUUGAAUCCUUCUGCUGGACAGUGGUCACAAUAGACUGAGAUAUGUCUGACGGAAUGUUCAUGACUUGAAUUAAAAUACAAAGUUAAAUUCAGGUUGUUUACAUCACCUGGAUUGCUCAUAGUGUACAUAUGCUGGGAAACCCUCAACAUUUGAUAAAAUUUCAUUAAUGUAUGGUAACAAUGAUAAUCUCUUAAUUUUUAUGCCCUUGGUAGCGUGGCAUAAAGCAGUUGAACUGUCCGUCAGUAUGUCGGUCUGUCUGUCGGUCUGAAAACUUUAAUGGCCAUAACUUUUUCAAUAUUGAAGAUUGCAACUUUAUAUUUGGCAUGCAUGUUCAUCUCACGGAGCUGCACAUUUUGAGUGGUGAAAGGUGAAGUUCAAGGUCAUCCUUUAAGGACAGACGCCAUAUAUUUGACAUUUGACCUUGAAGUAUGACCUUGACCUUUCACCACUCAAAAUGUUCAGCUCCAUGAGAUACACAUGCAUGCCAAAUAUCAAGUUGCUAUCUUCAAUAUUGAAAAAGUUAUGGCCAACGUUAAAGUUUUCGGACGGACAGAUGCCAUAUAUUUGACAUUUGACCUUAAAGGAUGACCUUGAACUUGAAAACUUUAACAUUGGCCAUAACUUUUUCAAUAUUGAAGAUAGCAACUUGAUAUUUGGCAUGCAUGUGCAUCUAAUUCAGCUGCACAUUUUGAGUGGUGAAAGGUGAAGGUCAAGGUCAUCCUUCAAGGUCAAGGUCAAAUUUUGCAAUAUUGAAGAUAGCUAAUCGAUAUUUGGCAUUGAUGCAUAUAUAAUCGAGCUGCACAUUUUGAGUGGUGAAAGGUCAAGGUCAUCCUUCAAGGUCAAAGGUCAAAUAUAUGGGUCAAAAUCGCUCAUUUAAUGAACACUUUUGCAAUAUUUCAAUAUUCAAGAUAGCAACUUGACCAAAAUCGCUCAUUUUAGGAGUACUUUUGCAAUAUUGAAGAUAGCAACUUGAUAUUUGGCAUGCAUGUGUAUCUCAUGGAGCUGCACAUUUUGAGUGGUGAAAGGUCAAGGUCAUCCUUCAAGGUCAAAUAUAUGGGUCAAAAUUGCUCAUGUAAUGUCACUUCUGCAAUAUUGAAGCUAGCAAUUAUAUAUUUGACAUGCAUGUGUAUCCCAUGGAGCUGCACAUUUUGAGUGGUGAAGGGUCAAGGUCAUCCUUCAAGGUCAAACGUCAUAUACGGGGACAUAGUGUUUCACAAACACAUCUUGUUUAAUGAUAUCUUGGAUGUAUUCGAAAAUGGUUUUGGUCUGUUGGCCACGAGGGGGGCGGGGAAUUUAUCCUUAUAUGGCAAGAGAAAAACCUUGUUAGCACUCUUUAAGUUACAUUUAUAAUUCACUCUUCAUGAAACUUGGUCAGACCAUUCAUUCUUGUGAUAUCUUGGGCUGCACAGAACAGGUCAGUUAAUUUGUAUCUCAGAUGAGCAACUUAUUAAUGCAGCAGAAACACCAAAAAUGAACACGAAAUAGUAUAAUUUAAAGUUUGUGCUCAAACUAUUGUAAUUCUACAGAAAGGCAUGAAUCACACCACAAGUGUUUUUAAUUUGUGUUCAUACAUUUUGUAUUUAUUAUUUAUUUUGCGAUGUCUAUUUAUUGUGCUAGGCAUUAAAACAGAAUCAUUACCACAGAAUUACCUUUGGUUGAUUUCCAUAUUUGUUUAUAUGUAAGUUUGGUCGUGUUGUGUUAAAAUUAUUUUCAACAAAUAUAACAUUCGAUCAUGAAUAAAUAUUAAAACACAUUUGUACUUGGACCUAUUUUAUCAACUGUGCAUAUAAAUGAACAUAUUAAUGGACUGUGUUUGUUCUUAUUAAAGCAAAUUCAUAUGGCAUUGAAACAAUACAUUUGCAAUUUAUAAAAUUGUUCAAGAAAAUCAAUAAAGGAUUAUUUUCCAUUUCAGUUAGUUAAACGAAUGCUUCAACAUAUGUCCACAGAUUGCCAAAUUUUGUUUGUAACGAAACAACUCUUCAUACUCUAUUGAUUCUGGAACAUUCGUUGUAGUUUUGAAAUUUAUAAUGCACAAGUUUAACAGGAGAACAAAGCUGUUGUUGUUAUCUUUAGUAGCUGAGUAAUUUGACACAGUUGUUUAAAUUUGGCAAUACUUAGUUUUUACAUGAUAAACAACAUUGUAUUAUGAUACUGUUAAUAUUUUGUUAAUUUGUUUGUUUUUUAUUGACAUAAAUUUUCAAAAAGCA